CAACCCUCGAACCCCUCCGGGGGUCCGGCGUUGGGGAUCGGCCCUUUACCGGCCGGCCCCGAAAUACAGUGGCGGUCUCGCCGCAGCCUCUCCUGCGCAGUAGUUUGCACACUCGCAUCGGGAGCGCGGCGCGUCCACGUCCGUAAAACACCCAACUUCUGAAA
rnacentral:misc_RNA from 1 species